UCGCUUCGGUGCAGCCAAUCAAACGCAGCCGCUGGAGAAAGAGAUUAAAAAAAAAGAAGCGGGGAAAAUUUCCGCCAAGAGGGGGCGCCCUCGGACAACACUCAGGCCCCUCCCACUCACAAUCCUUACUGAACUGGAUUAUAUGGCAGUGUGGACGCAGAUUUCUCUCACUUCCUGUUUACUCUUAACUGCUAUAUGGCCAUGUUCCAGAAGUAUUCUCUCCUGACGUUUCGCCCACAUCUAUGACAGGCAUCCUCAGAGGUUGUGAGAUCAUCUUUCCAGGUAAUAAAGGGGAUCCUAAUGCAGCGCAACUUCCUCCUUCCCAGCCGUGGUUUGAAGACCUGUCACAUUACAGAGAUAAGAGAUCUUACUUUCGGUUGGGCAACGAAAUGGGCCGGGCUGCGUUGCUCUCACCUCAUUGCUUCCCACAGGAGGGGCUCAAUGGGAAGGAUCUAGAAACGGGUGGCUGUGAUGGCUCUAUUUUGGAAAGGACACUCCUCGGGAGUUCUAUCAUCAUUCAUAUUUAGACAUUCAUGGCAUAUCCAAUUUCGUCUUUUUGCACAAAUACACACCCAAAAGUAUACCAUAGCAAACAUGGAACAGGGCUUUUGACAAUUUAUUGGCAAUCACCAAUACUUUUCCUCUAGAAUAAAUGUUAUAUCAGAUUUUUGAAAAAGUUAACAGAUCGAAGCCAUAUCGAAGGAAACGUCAACAGUUUUAUGAUACAUCAAGAAAUAAUUAAGUACCUUUGUUCUUAAUAAGCAGGUAAGAAUUAAGAUUUGUUCUGGAAAAAUAGCAGUUGCUUUUAAUCUCUACUUUAAAAAAUAAUCUGAUUUGUAUCCAAGGAACACGUCAAGUCCAUGAGAAAGGUUAGCCUGAGAUCCUUAAGUCACUUAAGGAUCUCGUGUACAUUUGACAGGCUUCUGAAAUGAAUCUUACUGGCCCUCUUCAAACAUUCAGUCCUCUGUUGUCGAAGGCUUUCAUGGCCGGAAUCACGGGGUUGUUGUGUGUUUUCCGGGCUGUAUGGGCAUGUUCCAGAAGCAUUCUCUCCUGACGUUUUGCCCACAUCUAUGGCAGGCAUCCUCACAACCUCACAACAUCGCUUAAGUGGCGGAGGAGGGGCCUGAGGAUGUCUGCCAUAGAUGUGGGCAAAACGUCAGGCGGGAAUGCUUCUGGAACAUGUCCACUCAGCCCUGAAAACACACAACAACCUGAUUCAGUCCUCUAACAAUCGCUAAGCCAGAAUCCUGGUCCCAUACAAAGAUAGUUUUCAUUCAUUCACAAUGGUCUGGUUAAGUUUAACACAAUAUAGACUAUCCUGAAUCCCCAAAUUAGUGCCCACACGUGGCCAUUCUCUUCCCUUCUGCUCUCUGAUCAGGUGUAUGGGAUUUAAAGUGAUUUAAAGAUGGCCUUAGAGCCAACCUUAAAAACUGUAGCAUAGACAAUGAGAACUGGGAAGCCCUGGCCCUUGAGCGCUCUAACUGGAGGUCAGCUGUGACCAGCAGUGCUGUGGAAUUUGAAGAGGCACAAAUGGGGGGCGAAAGGGAGAAAUGUACCAAGAGGAAGGCGCAUCAAGCCAACCAUGACUGGGAACGCCUUCCGUCUGGAAAAUGAUGUCUUCAUGUGGAUCAAGAACAGGGCUUCACAGCCACCUACGGACCCUCCCCCAAGACACUGCGCUCGGAGGACCAGCAUCCUCGGUCUACGAAGGAUCGCCUAAGUCAGUCAGUCAGUCCAUGGCCAUUCCCUUCUGCUCUCUGAUCAAAUGUAAGCCACUAAAAAGGAGGGAUGGGAGAGGCUUUGGGAAUGGUUGCACAUGCACAAUUAGUCAAGCUGAUGAAAGGCAACGCUACACAACAUGAUGCAGUGAGAAUAGAGACUGACAUGGAAGGCAUGCACCUCGUUUUGCCACUGGGCAAAGUGAGGGAUGCUUCUACGCUCUUCAGUCCAACACGAUUCACAGAACAUUUGUUGACAAAAUAGAACUCAACACAUUUACUUUCCUGUGCUCUCUGUUUUGUCCUACACCAGCAACAGAAGAGCAGUGUGUCAGAAUGACCGGAAACUGGGUAUAUGGCAUCUUAAGGUGCUAUUUGGUUCAAAUGUGCUAAGAAGGGAAACACAGUGGUAAGAAAAGGCUUGUGCAAAUAGGUCUAGCCUUAUUUGUCAAGCCAGGCAAGCGGGAUUGUCAGCACAUUUUCUGCAGCGGCAGAGAGAAAACUAUCUGGCUGCAAAAUAUUCUCCCUUCCUGAGAAGCUGUUAAGAACGGAGUAUUAGAUGCUUGGGGGGGGGGGGGCAGCAUAGAAAGGACGAGGCAAAAACAAAGCAAUCCAAGCAGUCAUUUGCCAAGAGUUGCUGUCUUGCUCUGAAAGCAAAAUACUGUGCAGUGUUCCCUCACUUAUUGUGGGGGUUACAUUCCAGGACCACCCGCAAAAAGUGAAAAUCCGCGAAGUAGGGACGCUUAUAUUUGUGUUGUUUACAAUCUCACUGGCAAGUAGCGUCUCUGUCUGCCACUGCCUUGUGAGGCAAAAACAAAGCGGCUUCAGCCUCCUUUUCUCUCCCUUUGGCUUUUCCUUCCUUCCUUCCUUAGGCUUCUCCUUAGGAAGGAAGUAGAAAGCAGGAUUUAUAUUAUUGUAUGAUUUAUACUAUUAUUUUAGUGUAUUAUUAAAAGACUGCGAAACAGCGAGGGCAUGAAGUAGUAAGGGAACACUGUAGUACAUUUGGGAAAGGUAGGAGAGAUAAAGAGCAGGACUGUUAACAGCCCAGCCAGCCACUGUGCUAUGGUGACCAAUACAGCCAGAUCUGCCCACCUUUAAGGAGGGGAAAAGGGGAAAUUAUUCAACGUAUCCUAGAUCUGCACUAGGACAUUGCUACACUAUCACUGCUACAGGGGGUAAUUGUGCAUUUUUUUUACAUUCGUACCUAUUUUUGCUGGGGAGAACAUACCAUGUCCCAGACAAAAGAUGAGAAAUCCAGUUGCUACAUUUGGCAAAAAACUAUGGAUGCAGGACCCUUGCUGGCUGCAUAGUUCCUACUGUUGGAGGUACAAAGCUAAACCUAUGUACAGAAUCGCCUUGCUUUAGGAACAGCCACAGCAAGAGGCACACACAAGCGAAGGAAAGCUAGGAAGCCAGUGCCCAAGACGGAGCCUAUCCAUAACCUGCAGAAAGACCACCAACAAUAGUUCCCAUUCUGGGUUUUCUUUUGGGGAGGGGUUGCCUCACAUCGAUUCACAAGAAUACUCCGAAACUCAACAGACACCAUUAUGGCAUUUCUAGGGGGGAAAUAAAAGCCACAGAACAAGACUGCUCAGAAAUGUGGUUCUAUCACCCCAAACCAGUUUGAGAUUCUUCUACUGAUAACAAUGUACAUUGUACAUUACAUUUAUUUUUUCCAUCAAUAUAUUAUUCAGAACAUCGUGUUAUACAUCAGCACACAAAAAUAUACAUGAGAGACUCACAUACAAAACCAAGUGGUGACCCCUACGGAGACGGCGGCAGCCACACUCCUUUUAGCCUUCUGAACAUCAAGAACAUGGUAACACAUACUCCAGAAAUGGCACUCUCCUAGUAGUCUGGGACUUAAAGCCCAGUUGAUUUGCUACAUCUUGGAAGUUAACCUUAAAGUGCUCUUCAAAAUGUUGGCAUCUAAAAUCGUCUUGACACGAGACAACUACAAGAGAAGUCUGUUGCUGCUAUGCAUAAGGCAGCAAUGCAAACACGACCGCCAUCCGCUGCUCUUAUUCGUCUCGGAUCAGUAGUGCAUCCCACCCCCUACCUCGAGCGUACAUUCAAGAGUUUUGGUUUCAUUGAGUAAUGUGGGCGGCGGAUCAGGACGCCUUGUCUGCACAAUCUUCUGUUUGGGGUUCUUUAUUUCAUCUUCCUCUUCCGUUUCGCUUUCACAGACAUGGACCACCACACUGGGAGUGGACUCGGUUCCUGCGUGCAGCUCAUACUUUUCUCCUAGAACAUAUGAGGAGUUACAGCAUUACGAUGCAAGCAUGGUCAACAGUCUCUAGCAUAAAUGACUGCUCUCUUUAAUUGAGUUCGGAAUCAUGUACAAGAGCAAUACAGCUCUGGAUCUGCAGAGGACACAUUUCUGAACUAACUAACUAACUAACUAACUAACAACAACAACACUUUAUUUUUCUAUCUUGCCUACAACUCCCAGCAGGGACUCAGGGCGGCUAACACAGGGCCAAGCCCAAAGAACAAAUAAUAAAAUUAAAUAUAUAUAAAAACAUUUUCAAGCAAAUAUAAAACAAAUUAAAACCAUAGUAAUGCAACAUAAUACUAUCAUAAAACUUACUAUGGAAACAGGAAACCAUGGAUAAUAGCAAACCUUACUGAAAUUAUAUUAAUAAUCGUUAUUAUUUAUAUUCAAACACUCUUCCAAGUGUUCUUAACACAAUUCAAAUGAAUGACUUCUGCUGGAAGUUACCAAAUCUAGAGGAUCUGGGAAUUUGCUAGGUCCUCCAGUGCGACUCUGUGGUAACUUCCAGCACUGAAAAUAUGGAAUCAUGUCACCAGCCAAAGUUUCUAAGAGGAUUCCACAAGAACCAACUUUGAGACGGUAUCCUUGUCUAGUUAUCUGGAGAAUAUACCUCACAACCCCCGAGGAUGCCUGCCAUAGAUGUGGGCGAAAUGUCACGAGGGAAUACUUCUGGAACAUGGCCAUACAGCCCGGAAAACACACAACAACCUUAUCUGGAGAAUUACUACAUCUACAGGCCUACUUCUAUCAAUUUUAUGAACACCAGAGAAAGUAAGGCAGAAAGAAGAACUCCUACCAGGCCCCAACUUUGAGACGGCACAGAGUAAGUCAUAGUUGAUCAUGGGAGUGGCAUCUUCGCUGGGCUUCCAUCCGACUGGGGGGGAUGCAGGUGGCGAGAUCAGGAACUGUUUGACUGGUUGCGGGGGCAAGAGGUAAGAUUUGUCUCCUGCUUCGUUGGGCACCUGGAUCUGAAAGAACAAAGCAAUCCAAAAUGUGAGAGAAGGAAAACUAGCUAAAAUAAUUUCAUCUGUGAUGUCAUAUUGUAUCUUAAUGGUACUGGAUGUUAAUAGGCAAGACCUGUAUGCCCAUCGCCUUAUGUAGUACCUUUAUAAUGUUUUAUAUUGUUUCCUUUUUACAUGUUGUAUUCAUUUAUGUAAAUGCCAGUGACCUAUGAUCUAUGUAUUAAUAAAUGAACAAAAAGUAGAAGCAAGGCACUGAGAGGGGAGGAGGCUGUGCACUGAAAUUUCAGAGAUACGAAUGAAUUAUAGACAAGAAACUUGUUCUUCUUCUUUGUGGCUUUGGUGACUCAUGCAUUCAGGUGACUGAUUUACUUUGCUAACUUACCAGAGGUAAGUACACAUUAAACAAAAAUCAAAGACAGGGCAGCUUGAUCAAAGGAAGCAUCCACUCAUAGUUGGAUACCAAGUCCAUAAGAGUUCAAUGAAGUGGAAAUCUGGGAUAAGGGCAAACUUCCAGCUCCUUAACCCUGUAUUAAAAGGCCUUCAACGAUUAACUAUUAGGUUGAACUAUCUGCCCAUCCAACUACAGGUUUUUUCUGCCACUACUAUUUUUGCAUUUUAUUGAGAAACUACCUCUCCCAUUUGAUAUAUUUUGCACUUUGGCCCAGAUCCUUGUUUUACUCUCCUGCUUUUAAUAUUUUAUGCUAUAUGUUGAUUACUAUGAUGGUUUUAUUAAUAUUGAUGUUUUAUUGUUGGUAUAAUUGUUUUAUCAUUUUAUUGUUGUAUGUUGUAUGGGGCGGGGUAUAAAAAUAAAGUUAUUAUUACUAUUAUUAUAUUAUUAAAACUGAACAGAAAACAAGCCAUCUACAAGCACAGCCUCUUUUGCAAAGUAGAAGACACGCAACGGGCUAAGUUUGUCCACAGAGAUUUGAAGUUCUAUUGGGAAAACAGAAAAAAUAAUAACGGACCCCGAAGAUUAAGAUGGGACAUAGACUCUCUAAAGACUGCUUUUACUCCUGGAUCAUAUAUAAAUUACACCAUCACCUUGAGUUAUAAUUCUGGUUUAACAGUAAGGUGGAAAAUGUAUUUCCGUAAUGAAUAUGUACCUGGGCAAAAUACAGCUUCAGCUUUUUCCCGUUAAA